UACGUAGGGUGCGAGCGUUGUCCGGAAUUACUGGGCGUAAAGAGCUCGUAGGUGGUUUGUCGCGUUGUCCGUGAAAACUCACAGCUCAACUGUGGGCGUGCGGGCGAUACGGGCAGACUGGAGUACUGCAGGGGAGACUGGAAUUCCUGGUGUAGCGGUGGAAUGCGCAGAUAUCAGGAGGAACACCGGUGGCGAAGGCGGGUCUCUGGGCCGAUACUGACGCUGAGGCGCGAAAGCGUGGGGAGCGAAACAGG
rnacentral:rRNA from 1 species